rnacentral:rRNA from 1 species
GUCCUAUUGGUAUUCAUAAUAGGUCUAGCCUGCCCAGUGAAUGAAUUAAACGGCCGCAGUAUAUUGACUGUGCAAAGGUAGCAUAAUCAUUAGUCUUUUAAUAGAGGGCUGGAAUGAAUGGUUUGACGAAAUAUCAACUGUCUCAUUUUUAUGAAUUGAAUUUAACUUUUAAGUUAAAAGGCUUAAAUUUUUUUGGAAGACGAGAAGACCCUAUAGAGCUUUAUUAAUCUUAUUUUUACGUGUAUUUGGUGAAAAUUUUUAUAUUAAUUUUAAUUUUAAUUUUGUUGGGGUGAUGGUAAAUAAAUAGUUAACUUUUAUUAUUUAUUAAACAUUUAUUUUUGAUUAAUUAGAUCCAUGUUUUUGAUUAUUAGAGUAAGUUACCUUAGGGAUAACAGCGUAAUCUUUCCUUUGAGUUCUUAUUUUCGGAAAGGCUUGCGACCUCGAUGUUGGAUUAAGAUUAUAAAUAGGUGUAGCCGCUUAUUUUAUAGGUCUGUUCGACCUUUAAAUUCUUACAUGAUCUGAGUUCAGACCGG